rnacentral:rRNA from 1 species
AGAGUUUGAUCCUGGCUCAGAAUCAACGCUGGCGGCGUGCCUAACACAUGCAAGUCGAGCGAGAAAAGGGUAGCAAUACCCUGAGUAAAGCGGCGCACGGGUGAGUAACACGUGGGUAAUCUGCCCUGGAGUGGGGAACAACACCGGGAAACCGGUGCUAAUACCGCAUACGAUCACGAUGUCUGCGGAUGUUGUGAUGA